rnacentral:rRNA from 1 species
UGCGAUCAUACCAAAGACUAAUGCACCGGAUCCCAUCGGAACUCCGCAACCGUGCUUGGCGAGAGUAGUACUAGGAUGGGUGACCCCCUGCGAAGUCCUCGUGUUGCA